rnacentral:rRNA from 1 species
AGUUGAGCGGAAAGGCCCUUGGGGGUACUGGAGCAUUGACCCGGUGAGUAACAGAAGAGUAACUUGCGUCUGAGUUAAGGAUAAGAAUGGGAAACUGGGUCUAAUACCGGAUACAAGUCAAUGUGGCAUGACAUGUGGGUGGAAAGUUUUUUCGGUUGGGGAUGGGCUCACGGCCUAUCAGCUUGUUGGUGGGGUAGUGGCCUACCAAGGCAACGACUGGUAGCCGGCCUGAGAGGUGAACCGGCCACAAUGGGACUGAGACACGGCCCAGACUCCUAUUGGAGGCAGCUGUGGG